rnacentral:lncRNA from 1 species
CUGGCGGUCCCUGUUCCCAUCGUCGCCCGUGGCCCGUUCCAGCAGCCGGCAUCACCCUCAGCCACGACCUCCGACCACCGGCUAUCGUCCGACCUCAGACCCGUGCAGCAGCGAGCAAGCGGCGCGCGGGGCCCCGGGCGGCCUCCGCCUCCGCGAAGUCAGCGAGGCGCUGGAGCACGCGUCGAGCGUUUUGGCGGAUACGUUGGCGAAGCAGACGCGGAACCACCGGGCUCGCUGCAGUGGCAGGAGGAGACCGGGGAGACGUUGAGCCCGCGACCUAGAACGACAGCUUCCUCCAUAGCUCAAUCUCUCCCUCGAACGACGCCGCGGGGCCCGAAGGCGUCGCAUGUCGGCCCAGCAGAAGAGCCCCGCGCUGCCCUCCAGGCACGCGACGCCGGCUGCCGCAAGGCCCGCCGCCAGCCUGGGAGUGAAAGAGUCAACACGGCCCUCGUCUUCAGUGGGAUUAGAAAAAAUAGAUUGAUUUAGUUAAUUGACUCUUGCUCAUCUUCAGUGGCACACGCAAAGACAACCGACGAAAAAUGAAUCGAAUGUGCUCCACCAUGUUUUCUGUCGUGUGACCAAAAUGGAGCAAUAUGCAUAGCUUUUUUUGCAGGGACAUUUAGAAAGAAUAAACAUCAAUACUCAAGACAUUCUCCAAAAAUGUCAAGAAGUUUCUUAGAGAAAUGACACCUUUGCCACAUCGUAAGAACAAUUACUUCUACUACUUGGUAUAUUUUUUAGUUUCCUAUUAUUUCCCUUUGAGCUUUAAUUUGUUCAAACCUGAGUUCACAUACAUUAUUUAUUUAGAUAAGCCGCUGGUUAUAGUGUUAGUAUUAGUAUGAGGCUACCAGCUAUGGAUGUUGGGGAUGCUACAGAGCUGCAGAGUGACCAAUUUUUUUUAGAUUAGUCUUUUAGGCAAACUAUUAACUCAUUGAUAGUAUCAUAGUCAGGGUCCUGAGUUGGAGGCCUAGCUAGAGUGGGGAGGGAGGGAGAGGAGGUGUUCUUGAUGAGAGUUGGACACAGACUGGAGUUUCUACAGCUUAGACAUUUUCAAAACAAUUUAUUGGUUGUUUAAUCAUUUGAUGGUAAUGUUUCAAGUAUAUGGCAUUUUUCUGGGUUCUAAACUUGUUUAUUAUUGCUCAAAUCUAUUGUGGUUCUUACUGGGUUGGGACAAAUAUGUGCUUCCUCAGGUUAGGAAACUGGAGGUGUAAAUCAUCAGUUAUUAAUACAAGAAAGGUUACAAACCAAUAGAUCAUCCUUUGCUCCUAGAUCCAAGAAAAACAGUGAAAUUUGGCCCAUAUGACAACUCAGUUACAACCAAAAUAUAGCGUAAUGAUCCAUGUUGCACCUAACCGCAAUAGAAACUCACUGGUUUCCUUCAUCUUGUUUAGAGUGAGAUAUGUUGUUUGUAGCUUAUAGAAUAUUACAAUACAAAGGAGAAACAUAUGGUGCAGACGUUUGCCGUUUCUCCCACUCUCUCGAGCAGAAUGCAACUUGGGGAAAUGUUUCAUGAGUUCCAUUUAUCAGAUUAAAACAUUGAAUCAUCUUUCUACAUAGAGCAGCAAAGCCUGCCAUUGCGAAUUUGCACGACUUGAAGCAUCCAAUUGAGUAACUCUGAAUCAGGUCGUGCUUCUGUUUCUCUGAUGUACAAUUAUAACAUACAUCUGAUUUUAUUUGCUCAAUGGUUGCUCUCAUGUUUACGGAGACGACUUUGGCUUGACGGAUGAAGACAUGUGUCCAUAUGAAUAUACACCCACUCCACGCUUCUUUCCAAGUCGACCAGCAUCAACAUACUAAACGAGAAGAGGGAAAUGAAGGAGGCCUACGGAAUGAUACUUAAAGCUGUGCUGCAAUGGGUUGAGAGCAACAUGAACCCCAAAACUUCAAGUGUUUUUCUGUCACUAUGUCACCCUCUCAUACAAGGUAAGCCUGAAAGGUAAGCUUCUUUGACAUGCUUUGUGUGCUAUUUUCAUAAAAUUUGAAGAAGUAUGGAAAAUGAUUCCUUGUCUUUCAUUCUGUUGUCUAUGUAGAUUAUUGAAUGGCUACUAAGUUCUCUCCUGGAGUUGUGCUCAUAGUUCAAAGUCAAACAACUGGUGAAGUGUUGUAAAGAAAUCAUUGACUGAUU